rnacentral:rRNA from 1 species
UACGUAGGGUGCAAGCGUUAAUCGGAAUUACUGGGCGUAAAGCGUGCGCAGGCGGUUGUGCAAGACAGAUGUGAAAUCCCUGGGCUUAACCUAGGAACUGCAUUUGUGACUGCAUUGCUAGAGUGUGGUAGAGGGAGAUGGAAUUCCGCAUGUAGCAGUGAAAUGCGUAGAUAUGCGGAGGAACACCAAUGGCGAAGGCAAUCUCCUGGACCUGCACUGACGCUCAUGCACGAAAGCGUGGGGAGCAAACAGG